CGUGACCGGCCCGGGGGAGGCGGGGGCGCCCCGGGCUCGGCGCCGAGGGGUCGCGCUCCCCUCUCCUGACGCCUCCGACUCCCGGUCUCCAAAGCCAGAAGAGGAGGUUUGAUUCAGCAACUGUUUGCUCCCUUUUUCUGGUCGCUCUGACCCUCUCCGGAUACUGGGUUGAUCCACGGAAAAACCGAAGACGUUUGGGAUUUAAUUAUUCCUCUCAGCUUUUGGAGUCUUUUACUUCUCACUUGGACAAGAACUCAAGAGCAGAAUCUCUGUGUUGCAAUCUGGUUCCUAAGGAGGAAGAGGAAGGCAGCCCUGGAGUGGUUUCUUUACAGUAAUUUCAACAGAAGAGUGAGAGAUGGAACCCGAAGAAGAAAGGAUUCGUUACAGCCAGAGAUUGCGUGGUACCAUGCGACGGCGCUAUGAAGAUGAUGGCAUUUCAGGUGAUGAAAUUGAAGGGAAAAGAACUUUGACUUGGAAGAGAAACUGCAUACCAACAAAUAUAAUGCCAAUUUUGUUACUUUUAUGGAAGGAAAAGGUCAGUAUAAUUUUGGUUCCAACAUAUAGUACUUUGGUGUGGGAAGUCAUAGAAUGUGAGCAUUGGGGGUUUAGCAUUUAUCUAGCUAAAAUAUUGCCUGUUGAUGUUAUUUUCUCUUGUUAUUCAGUGCCCCUUGUAUGCACUCGACCCCGAGUCCUCCCACCCUGUGAGUCAUUCUCUGCUAUAUUAGAAGUAAUCUUUUAUUAG
rnacentral:lncRNA from 1 species